rnacentral:ribozyme from 13 species
AAAAUGCAAAAUCAUUUUUUUUUUUUUUGUUUUUACAAAUUUUUAUUUUAAAGUGGUGUUAGAAAUUUUAAAUGUCAUAAGGAAUUUCGAUUUC